GUCGAGCGGUAACAUUUCUAGCUUGCUAGAAGAUGACGAGCGGCGGACGGGUGAGUAAUGCUUGGGAAUAUGCCUUAUGGUGGGGGACAACAGUUGGAAACGACUGCUAAUACCGCAUAAUGUCUACGGACCAAAGGGGGGGAUCUUCGGACCUCUCGCCAUUUGAUUAGCCCAAGUGAGAUUAGCUAGUUGGUGAGGUAAUGGCUCACCAAGGCGACGAUCUCUAGCUGGUUUGAGAGGAUGAUCAGCCACACUGGGACUGAGACACGGCCCAGACUCCUACGGGAGGCAGCAGUGGGGAAUAUUGCACAAUGGGCGCAAGCCUGAUGCAGCCAUGCCGCGUGUGUGAAGAAGGCCUUCGGGUUGUAAAGCACUUUCAGUAAGGAGGAAAGGGAUGUAGUUAAUAACUGCAUUCUGUGACGUUACUUACAGAAGAAGCACCGGCUAACUUCGUGCCAGCAGCCGCGGUAAUACGAGGGGUGCAAGCGUUAAUCGGAAUUACUGGGCGUAAAGCGUUCGUAGGCGGUUGAUUAAGCAAGAUGUGAAAGCCCAGGGCUCAACCUUGGAACUGCAUUUUGAACUGGUCAACUAGAGUACUGUAGAGGGUGGUGGAAUUUCC
rnacentral:rRNA from 1 species